rnacentral:rRNA from 1 species
GGGUUGUGAGGUUAAGCGACUAAGCGUACACGGUGGAUGCCCUGGCAGUCAGAGGCGAUGAAGGACGUGCUAAUCUGCGAUAAGCGCCGGUAAGGUGAUAUGAACCGUUAUAACCGGCGAUUUCCGAAUGGGGAAACCCAGUGUGAUUCGUCACACUAUCAUUAACUGAAUCCAUAGGUUAAUGAGGCGAACCGGGGGAACUGAAACAUCUAAGUACCCCGAGGAAAAGAAAUCAACCGAGAUUCCCCCAGUAGCGGCGAGCGAACGGGGAGGAGCCCAGAGCCUGAAUCAGCAUGUGUGUUAGUGGAAGCGUCUGGAAAGGCGCGCGAUACAGGGUGACAGCCCCGUACACAAAAGCGCAUGUGUUGUGAGCUCGAUGAGUAGGGCGGGACACGUGGUAUCCUGUCUGAAUAUGGGGGGACC